rnacentral:rRNA from 1 species
UACGUAGGGUGCAAGCGUUAAUCGGAUUCACUGGGCGUAAAGGGUGCGCAGGCGGCCGAGUGUGUGAGGCGUGAAAGCCCGGGGCUUAACCCCGGAAUUGCACCUCAAACUACACGGCUAGAGCAUUGGAGAGGGUAGCAGAAUUCAUGGUGUAGCAGUGAAAUGCGUAGAUAUCAUGAGGAAUACCAGAGGCGAAGGCGGCUACCUGGACAAUUGCUGACGCUCAGGCACGAAAGCGUGGGGAGCAAAAGGG